rnacentral:rRNA from 1 species
GGGAACGUACCCUUCGGUUCGGAAUAACUCAGGGAAACUUGAGCUAAUACCGGAUACGCCCUUUUGGGGAAAGGUUUACUGCCGAAGGAUCGGCCCGCGUCUGAUUAGCUUGUUGGUGGGGUAACGGCCUACCAAGGCGACGAUCAGUAGCUGGUCUGAGAGGAUGAUCAGCCACACUGGGACUGAGACACGGCCCAGACUCCUACGGGAGGCAGCAGUGGGGAAUAUUGGACAAUGGGCGCAAGCCUGAUCCAGCCAUGCCGCGUGAGUGAUGAAGGCCUUAGGGUUGUAAAGCUCUUUUGUCCGGGACGAUAAUGACGGUACCGGAAGAAUAAGCCCCGGCUAACUUCGUGCCAGCAGCCGCGGUAAUACGAAGGGGGCUAGCGUUGCUCGGAAUCACUGGGCGUAAAGGGCGCGUAGGCGGCUUUUUAAGUCGGGGGUGAAAGCCUGUGGCUCAACCACAGAAUUGCCUUCGAUACUGGAAAGCUUGAGACCGGAAGAGGACAGCGGAACUGCGAGU